rnacentral:lncRNA from 1 species
UUAUACAAUAUAUUUUCACUAACUUUUGAGCUAAUAGACAUUUAAAAGUCACCAAAUUUGGAAUACAAAGUAUUUUAAAUGACAUCCCAAGUCAUAUAAGAGAUUGGUUCAGCCUACGCUUUCUGUUCAAAACCCAGUAGUUAAUGCUAUUAGCAUUCAAAAUGCCUUUUUUUCCUUUUAAAAAGGACAGUUAAACCUGUUAUUUUUUAUCCUGCAGCCAGUUCUUAGCACAAAAGCAGGCAGAUUUUAGUAGCACAAAAUUAUUUAUUAGCUUAUGCCUCUACCAGAAAACAGAAAUGUUGGCUUAAAAUUGUUUCAUUGAUGUAACUUUUACCUUUUCCUUUACAGAUAUUCAUUUAUUCAUUCUGGCCCUAAUACCAAGGUAUCCUUCACACAAAAGAUUCAAACAGAUUCUUUGCAUCUUUACCAAUGGGAGUUUCAUGUUUUCAAGUUUUUGUUUGUUUGUUUGUUUGUUUUUUGUUUGGAGGCCUCUUUCCAAGCACUCUAGUAUUCUUAAAAUCCUGAGAUUCUGAAUGGUAUGAUUUAGCUCAAUAUGUUUAUACUAAACUUAGGGGAAAAAAACUAAUAUAUUUUCCUUACCCAUCACAAGGUUUAUGCUGAGACUUCAAUAACAAAAAACAGACUAACAAGAGAAAAGCAUGCACAUUUAUUUUAUCCAAGUUUUACAUGACAUGGGAACUUUCAGAAACGAAAACCCAAAGAAAUGGGGACAUUUGUGUAGUUGUAUAGACAGUCAGGCAGAUGUAUGAUUGCAAGGACAAAAGUGUAUGAGCUAACGGUGAUAAACUGAGAAGUUGGAAAGGCCUGUCUAUUCAGUUUCUUCUUGGCAUACCUGUGUGGCAGUCCCUCCCUCAGGGCAUAGGAGAGGAUGCCUGUUAUAUAAGGGGCCUCAGAUGAAGGAGGGAGAAGGAGGGAGCAGGUCAGAGAGUGACCUUCCUAGAUUUUGUGGCCUGCUUCAGGGAAGAAGGGGCGAGGGGAACUCUAGUUUCUAUGGCCUGCUUCAGGGCAGAAAGGAGCAAGAGGUCAGAGAAACCUUCCUGUUUCUGCUAUUUUCUCAAUUUCCAAGGUGCCAUAUUUUGGGGUGGCAUUUCCUGUACCCUGUCAUAUACAAACUCAUUUUUAGACAGCGGCCUUUAGUUCCUCCUGAGGUUAAACCAGAGCUGCUCAAGGAAUAUACCUACUAAAUCUUCUUGCUCCAUUUAAGAUAUUUAUUUCAAAUGCAAAUAAUUAUACCAUACCCUUUGGCCUAGUCAGCACUGAUUCACUAUUUCAAAGCUUUACAUUUAAGCCUCAUAAUAACCGUACGAAGCAGAUCUAGCUACUUCCAUGUUACAGAAGAAGAACCUGUGGCACACAGAGGUUGAGCAGCUGCCCCAAAGCCUCACAGAAUGUGGCAGACUGGAGAAUUCAACGCAGAACUCUUACCCAGCCCCAUAUGCUGCCUUGGCCUCCAUCUGGUAUGACCACAGAAAUGGAGAGCUGGAGGAAGGAAUUUCAACUCUGCUUCAGAACCUUAAAUGAAGCAGGAAGCUGUAGAGGGGCACAAAGCUACAAAGCUGCUCCAAAGCUGUCUCCUCCAACACAAAGCAGAAAUUGUGUUCCCAGCAUCCAUUUCUGUUACCCUUACUUGGACUUGAGAAGCUGUAUCAAUCAAGAUGUAGUGUGGUGGGAGAGGGACUCAGUGCAUGACUGAUACCCAGCCAAGCAGGGCCAGGCAGCUUUAGAAAUGCCCACACUGGGGAAUUGAACAAUGAGAACACAUGGACACAAGAAGGGGAACAUCACACACCAGGGGC